GUGCAGCAGGCGCGAAACUUCACAAUGUGCGAAAGCACGAUGAGGGAAUCCCAAGUGCUUGCACGUAAGUGUAAGCUGUUUCUCUGUCUAAAACGCAGAGAGAGUAAGGGCUGGGUAAGACGGGUGCCAGCCGCCGCGGUAAUACCUGCAGCUCGAGUGGUGACCGUUAUUAUUGGGCCUAAAACGUCCGUAGCCGGUUUAAUAAAUGCCUGGGUAAAUCGGACCGCUUAACGGUUCGAAUUCCGGGUAGACUGUUAAACUUGAGACCGGGAGAAGUUAGAGGUACUCCUGGGGUAGAGGUGAAAUUCUGUAAUCCUAGGGGGACCACCAGUGGCGAAGGCGUCUAACUAGAACGGGUCUGACGGUGAGGGACGAAGCCCUGGGGCGCAAAACGGGGAUUAGAUACCCGCGUAGU
rnacentral:rRNA from 1 species